rnacentral:rRNA from 1 species
UGAGGAAUAUUGGUCAAUGGACGAGAGUCUGAACCAGCCAAGUAGCGUGCAGGAUGACGGCCCUCCGGGUUGUAAACUGCUUUUAGUUGGGAAUAAAGUUCGGGACGUGUCCCGAUUUGUAUGUACCAUCAGAAAAAGGACCGGCUAAUUCCGUGCCAGCAGCCGCGGUAAUACGGAAGGUCCGGGCGUUAUCCGGAUUUAUUGGGUUUAAAGGGUGCGCAGGCGGCGUGCCAAGUCAGCGGUCAAAGUUCCGGGCUCAACCCGGUGAUGCCGUUGAAACUGGUGUGCUUGAGUGCGUGCGAGGGAGGCGGAAUGCGUUGUGUAGCGGUGAAAUGCAUAGAUAUGACGCAGAACUCCGAUUGCGAAGGCAGCUUUCCAGCACGCCACUGACGCUGAGGCACGAAAGCGUGGGGAUCGAACAGGAUUAGAUACCCUGGUAGU